GGGCGAUUAGCUCAGGGGAUAGAGCGUUUGCUUGACAUGCAAAAGGUCAGUGGUUCAAUUCCACUAUCGCCCA
rnacentral:tRNA from 1 species